GACUUUAAUGAAGUAUUUUCUCUACUUAUGAAGCACAGUUUUAUCAGGGUCUCACUUGCUAUGGUUGCUCUUCAUAAUCUAGGGCUUGAGCAACUAGAUGUGAAGAUAGCAUUUUUACAUGGUGACUUUGGAGGAGAAAAUUUAUAUGAGUCAGCCUAAGGGAUUUGUCAUCCCCAGUAACAAAAACCAUGUUUGCUUGCUCAAGAAGUCUUUAUGUGGUCUCAAACAGUCCCUUGGACAAAGGUACAAAAGAUU
rnacentral:misc_RNA from 1 species